rnacentral:rRNA from 1 species
GAUGAACGCUGACAGAAUGCUUAACACAUGCAAGUCGAUGGGGAAGUGGUGCUUGCACCAUGGCAACCAUGGCGGACGGGUGAGUAACGCGUAAGGGACUUACCUGCAGGACUGGGAUAACAGGGGGAAACUCCUGACAAGACCGGAUAAUGUCAUGGAGCUGCAUGGCUUUAUGAUGAAAGGAGACGCCUGCGGAGAGCCUUGCGUCCUAUUAGCUAGUUGGUGAGGUAAUGGCCCACCAAGGCGAAGAUAGGUAGCCGGCCUGAGAGGGUGGACGGCCACAAGGGGACUGAGAUCCGGCCCUUACUCCUACGGGAGGCAGCAGUGGGGAAUAUUGGACAAUGGGGGCAACCCUGAUCCAGCAAUUCUGUGUGCACGAAGAAGGUUUUCGGAUUGUAAAGUGCUUUCAGCAGGGAAGAAGUAAGUGACGGUACCUGCAGAAGAAGCGACGGCUAAAUACGUG